rnacentral:rRNA from 1 species
UACAGAGGUCUCAAGCGUUGUUCGGAUUCAUUGGGCGUAAAGGGUGCGUAGGUGGCGUCGUAAGUCAGGUGUGAAAUCUCGGGGCUUAACUCCGAAACUGCAUUUGAUACUGCGGUGCUUGAGGACUGGAGAGGAGACUGGAAUUUACGGUGUAGCAGUGAAAUGCGUAGAGAUCGUAAGGAAGACCAGUGGCGAAGGCGGGUCUCUGGACAGUUCCUGACGCUGAGGCACGAAGGUCAGGGGAGCAAACGGG